CCGGCAGGCUUCGAGGGUAGCGCAGCCUCGGACAGAACACCCUCCAGAAGCUUAUGGUGACACAGCAGACCCAAACUCAGCCGUAUUCUCCUGCCUGACUCCCAGGAGGGGCAGAACCUGUUUUCACCCCUGCCCUGACCACCUACACUCAUUCUCCUGUACCCUGACUUGUCUCAAUCUCCCAGACAGAAAGCCCGGAACUGGCAACCAGGACCAGAGACUUGGAGGCUGGAAGUCAAUAACCAAAGUGCCAGCACAGACCAAGCUGGGAGGACUCCAUUCUGGAUUGCGGAUGGCCACCUUCUUGCCAGGAGUCAAAAGUGAGCAGCAGUGCCCACCUCUUGGUCAUGCAGGGUGAAGGACUGAACCAGGGCUUGUGUUUGCCAGCUUGCGGCACCGGGAAUGAUGGACAGCCACGUGGUCUCUGGCUGGCAGCGUGGAUGAGACACCGAUGUGGAUUCAGAGGCACCAAGGACUACGAACAUCAACAUGGCCUCCACAGCAGCACUGAUCAUGGAAGUCUUUCAAGGGGACAACUCAGAAAAUGAAUCGUUCUUCAUCUCGGAUAUCUUGUUGCUCAGAGUCAGGGUGAUCGUGGGAUCGGGCAGCGUGUGUGUGGAACAGAAGUGGGCGUGGGGGGGGCACCUAGAAGAGCUGCGGCUCCAUUCUGCGGGCUGAGCGGCAGCAGUACUUGUCCUAGCAGGCGGGAACCGGGUGAGGUGGAUCCUAUAGUUGCUUGAGCCUCCAGGGUCCGAGGAGAACCUUCUCUACUGGGCAAUGACAUGCUCCUUUGUGCCCUCCCCCUGCCGCAGCCCUGCUCCAUACCCAUCGCUGCCCAGUCUCGCUUCCCUCUGUUGCGCUGCUCUGUUCUGCAGUAUGGAAAAAAAAUAUACUUUAGGGGUGGGGCACGCCAUUGAACUUUUCAUAAUUUCCAUCUCUUUGCUGAAAUUCCCUCUGACUACACCCAUUGUCAGCUUUCCCCACCAGAUCCUUUAAUGUAUUGUUACACUUUUUAAAAUUCUUCUCUGCUAAUUUGAAUACUCAGAUCAUAUGCAAAUCCGCUUCUGUUGCUUCUGUCUAGUGUAAUUUUUUUUCCUUCCGAAGCGUUUUUUUUCUGCUAGUGUUCUUACAGUACCCCAGGGGAAUGCGAUGUCUCAUACAGGCUGUGAGACAGGGCUGCUUCAUACAGGCCAACAGGGACCACAAAUGCCUCCUACAGGCUGGGGAAUGCAACGUCUCAGCUUUUGUUCAUUGAAAAAAAAAAGCAUGUAUGUGUGCGUGUGUGCGUGCAUGUGUGUGCAUGUGAGUAGAGGAGGACAUGCAGUACCCUGCUGGUCACUCCCCACCCGAAUUCCAUUGAGGAAGUGUCUCCCUGAAGCUGGAGCUCUGAUUUUCCAGCAAGACUUAUAUUCCAGCAAGCUCCAGUGACUUCCUAUCUCCAUCCCACUGAACCAUGUGGUCACAGGCAUCGUCAGG
rnacentral:lncRNA from 1 species